rnacentral:rRNA from 1 species
GACGAACGCUGGCGGCGUGCUUAACACAUGCAAGUCGAACGGGAAGUCCCUGCUUUGUUGGGGUGCUCUAGUUGCGAACGGGUGAGUAACACUUGAGUAAGCUACCCUUGAGUUUGGGAUAACUUCAUGAAACUUGGGCUAAUACCGCAUAGGAGCUCCUGCUGCAUGGUGGGGGUGGGAUAGUUUCGGCGGUUGGGGAUGUACUCGCGGCUUAUCAGCUUGUUGGUGGGGUAGUGGCUUACCAAGGCUUUGACGGGUAGCCGUCCUGCGCGGGUGACCGGACACAUUGGGACUGAGAUACGGCACAGACUAGUCCGGGAGGCAGCAGUGGGGAAUAUUGCAUAAUGGGAGGAAGCCUGAUGCAGUCCAGCCGCGUGCGGGAUGACGGCCUUCGGGUUGUAAACCGAUUUCGCCUGUGACGAAGCGUGAGUGACGGUAAUGGGUAAAGAAGCACCGGCUAACUACGUG